CUGUGGCUAAUUCUCGAAUCUUGCUCGUGUUUUGGAACUUGAGAAGGUUCACGAGAGGAGAAAUGGCGCCACACGUCACUAUUUGUUCCUUGUUUCUGAAAUACAAUCAUUCAUAUGAUCUGAAGUUUAAAUUUCUAUUGAGGAGAGCAAGAAGGGAAGCUUCACGAGCAUCAUGAUGCUGCGAGCAGAGCAUAAGAACAAGGGGUUGAAUAACACCGACGCCGGCGAACUUGGCGCGAAUCUUUCCGGGGGAAUUACGAUUACGGAUCAAGCUACGGAUUUCCAUGGCGGCCUGAAUCUUCGUCGGGAGUUCUCCAUUAAUCAAUCUAUCGGAAAUUUCAUCGAUUAUUGUUUGUUUCUUCUGAUUCCCUCCCUCAGUUUCUUCUUUCAUCUCCAUCUACCUAUCUUCUUUGUGAUUUCUUGGAAGGAUUCAACUCCGGUUUGCCAUGGAAUCGUGAUUCUGUAGAUUGAAAG